GGMGUAAAGCGSGCGCAGGCGGAUUGGUCAGUCUGUCUUAAAAGUUCGGGGCUUAACCCCGUGAUGGGAUGGAAACUGCCAAUCUAGAGUAUCGGAGAGGAAAGUGGAAUUCCUAGUGUAGCGGUGAAAUGCGUAGAUAUUAGGAAGAACACCAGUGGCGAAGGCGACUUUCUGGACGAAAACUGACGCUGAGGCGCGAAAGCCAGGGGAGCGAACGGGAUUAGAUACCCCGGUAGUCCUGGCCGUAAACGAUGGGUACUAGGUGUAGGAGGUAUCGACCCCUUCUGUGCCGGAGUUAACGCAAUAAGUACCCCGCCUGGGGAGUACGACCGCAAGGUUGAAACUCAAAGGAAUUGACGGGGGCCCGCACAAGCGGUGGAGUAUGUGGUUUAAUUCGACGCAACGCGAAGAACCUUACCAGGUCUUGACAU
rnacentral:rRNA from 1 species